ACACUUCAAUUUAGGGAGACUUAAACCCCUGUGUCGUACAAACGCCCUUCUCUGCUUGGUCACAGCAGAGUGCCUUUAAGUGCCUCAAACCACAUUAUUGUCUCAAUAAUCCCUUUAGAAACUAGUUACUUCCCAUUGAACAUUGUUAGCUGGGAGCUAGAUAAUGUCUGGGGUGUAAGGUAUGACCACUUAGUGUUGCUGGGAGCUACAGCUCAUGUGUUCACCACAAACCGGUAGCAGGGGUUGGCCAGAAUGCGGUAAAAUGGAAAAAGAGGAUUCAGUGAGCUAAUGCUACUCUUAGGUAGCCACAGUGAAUGAGGACGCCAGGAUAUACAGGCAGAAGCAUCUGAUGAUCCUUGAAGCUUGGUGGAAAGUAUAUUUUUUUUGAAGGCAAACAGCUGUGGGAAUGACAAAUGAAUAUAGUAUUUAGAUUAAGAGGAAUAUUUUUCUCAUUUUUCAAAUCCUAAAUGGUGCCAGGCCAGGUAGUGGGGCCCUUAAACGUGCCUCAUUUGUACCACUCUACAAGCAGGCUAAUUGCAACUGCAGCACUGCAUGGCUGUGGCUACACUAUUUCCCAUUUGGAAGCUGGCUCCUGGAACUGUAAGUUUUUCCGGGUAGAUAUGCCUUCAUGCUAUCACUGCUGUUUCAUGGAAAACUCUGAAAUAUUCUAUUUGAAAGAUGUUCUGAUUUGCCCCAAUAAAGGAAAACAAACCCACCAAAUUUCUCAUGCUGGGCACGGAAAACAUCAUUGGUUUUACCAGUCAAAAAAUCUGACCUUGGAUGUUUGAGAACCAGCUCUUACUAAAGUCAGUGGGAAUCUUUCACCCGCACAGAUGACUGGGUUUGGUCAUCAUCUUUUCCCUCCUGCUUGAUCGAGUCUGUCUUGGAAUCGCACAUCUCUGUCAUGUGGCAAUAUUUAGCAGUUCUAUAAGGAUUUAAGUUUUCAGAUCAUUAAUUCCCUUAGUAGGUCUUGGAGGUCAGUAAAUAUAACGCACAUGCAGGAAAUAAGGCUUUGCUUACAUGUGAAAGUUGCACUAGUAUUACUUAAAUCCAUUCACCUUGGGUUGAGUACCUUAUUUUGAUCUAAUUUACACUAAUUUCUAGUUCAUUUAAGCUAAACCAAAAUAAGACUGGCUUAAAUCAAACUGUGAAAGAAUGAGUUUAAAAUCAAAUCUCUCAUGGAGAAGUCUGAGUCUGAGGCAAAAUCGGAAUUAGAAGUCAGACUCACUGGGCAUGUCUACAUGUGCGACUAAUGCUCAGAAAGCUUACUGGGCAGUAAGUCAAAUGAGAAAUAAGUCAUAGUAAGCCCCCAAAGUAACACAUCCUUUUUUCAGAUCAUGAAAACUAUUCAAGGAGAAAAGUAUGUAAGAAGAAAACAGCAAAGGUGGAAGAGUAGACUAGCUUUUAAACUGAAUGUUUUUCAAAGUAUCUUCCAUAAGAUGGCAGUAGCUUCUUUAGUGAACAGGCCUGGUGGGCUGAUGUGAAUUAGUGUGUGAAGACCUGCUGGUAAUCUUAAAAAAAUCAGACAUCUAGUUUUUCUGGGUUUCAUUUCCCAGUGCCUGGUACAGGUCCUGUAUGACUUCAGUGGUGUGGACUAGUCAGUCUGAUGUUAACUCCAUUCCUGGGCCUUAAUGUUGAAGUAAAUGAGCCAGACCCAGAAAGCGUGAAUGGUUUCCAUAGAUGUCCUAGGAAAGCGCUGAACUCCAACGUCUGGCUUCCAGUCAUCAUUGUAAUCCCAACAGAGAACUUAAGUGCUGGAGGCCAAGCAUAGUGUGUUGUUAUGGCAGCUGAGG